GGCUUAUGUACAUGCACAUAAAUCGGACGGGUGAAGAUGACAUCAUACAGUCAACUGUAUGCAAACAACAAAGAAGGCGGAGUUUCCAGCUGUCAAUCACACCUCCUCCUCGGGUUCAUUCAUCUCGCUCUCGUUUCCAGACUGUUCCUCAGUCUCUGCUCCUCCCUCGUCUUCAUCAUCAUCAUCAUCCUCAUCCAGAGGCUCGUUCUCAUCCAUCGCACUGGAGGAGCGG